CGCUACACUCCUACGGGAGGCAGCAGUGGGGAAUAUUGCACAAUGGGCGCAAGCCUGAUGCAGCCAUGCCGCGUGUAUGAAGAAGGCCUUCGGGUUGUAAAGUACUUUCAGCAGUGAGGAAGGCGGGUGUGUUAAUAGCACAUUCGUUUGACGUUAGCUGCAGAAGAAGCACCGGCUAACUCCGUGCCAGCAGCCGCGGUAAUACGGAGGGUGCGAGCGUUAAUCGGAAUUACUGGGCGUAAAGCGCAUGCAGGCGGCCUGUUAAGUCAGAUGUGAAAGCCCGGGGCUUAACCUCGGAAUUGCAUUUGAAACUGGCAGGCUAGAGUCUUGUAGAGGGGGUAGAAUUUCAGGUGUAGCGGUGAAAUGCGUAGAGAUCUGAAGGAAUACCAGUGGCGAAGGCGGCCCCCUGGACAAAGACUGACGCUCAGAUGCGAAAGCGUGGGGAGCAAACAGGAUUAGAUACCCUGGUAG
rnacentral:rRNA from 1 species